ensembl:lncRNA
UUAUGUUGCAUCAGUUAGCAGAAGAGAGAUGUGGCUACAGAAGGAGAGAGUCCAGUGGAGGCUUCUGAGGUGAGGACGGCUCAUAACGUCCGGAAUGGAGCUAAUGGAAUGGCACAUGGGUUCCAUGUGUUUGAUGAGUUUGAUACCAUUCCACUUAUUCUGCUCCAGCCAUUACCAUGAGCCCGUCCUCCCCAAUUAAGCUGCCACCAACCUCCUGUGGUACUGACUGACUGAUCUGGAGAUAAAGAGAGACAAGAUGAGACUCAACUAGCAGAGAUGGAAACCCUACCAGAGAAAGGCCACCGGUAACUUCCAGGAACUGUACCAUCAGCCUGAUGUCAAGAGUUAAGGUGUACCCCAAUGGAGACAGCUGCAGUAACGUGAGGCUGGGAAUGUCCCGGUCCGCAUCCAGGCUGUACGCUGCAGACGGCAUGGCUUCUGUACCGUGAGGUUGGGCCUAUCCCGGUCCACUUCCAGGCUGUACGCUGCAGACGGCAGGCCUCUGUACCGUGAGGUUGGGCCUAUCCCGGUCCGCUUCCAGGCUGUACGCUGCAGACGGCAGGCCUCUGUACCGUGAGGUUGGGCCUAUCCCGGUCCGCUUCCAGGCUGUACGCUGCAGACGGCAGGGCUCUG